rnacentral:precursor_RNA from 14 species
AAGCGGGACCCCGGGCCCCGGGCGGGCGGGAGGGACGGGGACGCGGUGCAGUGUUGUUCUUUCCCCCGCCAAUAUUGCACUCGUCCCGGCCUCCGGCCCCCUCGGCCCCCCGGGCCUCCCCCUC